UAAUGAGAUUUUGAAAGAGGUUGGGAAGGAACAAAGCAUGACUUGGCACAUAACCACAUGGCUUCUGCUCCUUCCCAGCCACACGGGAGUCUGCGUUUGUCCACGCCAUC
ensembl:miRNA gga-mir-6695 gga-mir-6695